UACGUAGGGUGCGAGCGUUGCCCGGAUUUAUUGGGCGUAAAGGGCGCGUAGGCGGCUCCGUGCGUCACCGGUGAAAUCGCCCGGCUCAACUGGGCGGGGUCCGGUGAGACGACGGGGCUGGAGCAAGCUAGGGGGCAGUGGAAUUCCCGGUGUAGUGGUGGAAUGCGUAGAUAUCGGGAGGAACACCAGUGGCGAAGGCGGCUGCCUGGAGCUUUGCUGACGCUGAGGCGCGAAAGCGUGGGGAGCGAUCCGGAUUAGAAACCCCAGUAGUCC
rnacentral:rRNA from 1 species